rnacentral:rRNA from 1 species
AUUGAACGCUGGCGGCAGGCCUAACACAUGCAAGUCGAGCGAGCGGCGGACGGGUGAGUAAUGUAUGGGGACUGCCCGAUAGAGGGGGAUAACUACUGGAAACGGUGGCUAAUACCGCAUCCUAGCGGAUAACCCAUAUGGGAUUAGCUAGUCGGUGGGGUAAAGGCUAACCUAGGCGACGAUCUCUAGCUGGUCUGAUAGGAUGAUCAGCCACACGGGGACGGUGUAACGGCCCAGAUGCCUACGGAGGCAGCAGUGGGGAAGAUUGCACAAUGGGCGCAAGCCUGACGCAGCCAUGCCGCGGGUAUGAAGAAGGCCUUAGGGUUGUAAAGGACGUUCAGCGGGGAGGCGUUACCCGCAGAAGAAGCACCGGCUAACUCCGUGCCAGCCGCCGCGGUAAUUC